GAACCUCCCUCAGGCCUCAGGAGUCAGGACCCUCACUCACUCUCUCCCUCCCAACAAAAGUACGGAGUAAGUUCAACUUUUGAUUUUCCCCCAACUUUUCCUUCCCACUUCUUCACCAAAAUAACCAAAAAAAACUCCCAAAAAAUUGAAAAAAAGUAAAAAAUCCCCAUUAACAAUUCCUAGGGUUCUUUUCCCCAAUUCAAUUGAAGCCUAAAUCAAUAGCAACAAAGAGAGGAUUUUUCUCAACUUCACUUGCAAAAAUUUGUUUGAGGUAGGUUUUACACUUUUACUGCUACAUUUUUCUGAAAAUUUACCUCAAAAUUUCACUUGGCUAGUGUUUAUUUUUGUUUAAUUUCUCUCAUUUGGAGCAAAGGUUGUAUCUUUGCCCAAUUUAGCAGCAUAUUUCAUCUGAGUUUAUUCCAAUUUGACGCAAAAGGGUGAAAAUUUGGCACAAAUUAUGAUCUGGGUAUUGUCAGAAAUCAGGAAUUUAUAGAUGGAUACUUGAGAAAUCACUGUAAUUAAGGGGAUGAUUAUGGUUUAGGGUAAUGCCCCAUUUGUCAAAAUGUCAUCUUUUUCAACUGACACAACGCCGCAAUCUCCACCACUGCUUCUACCACCGCCGCCACCAACUCCUUCUGGUGGUGGUGGUAAAAUUAACCCGUUAAUAUUGUUCAUCAUAAUUAUAUUAGCAGUAAUUUUCUUCAUAUCUGGCAUCCUUCAUUUAUUAGUUAGAUUUCUUGCAAGACAAAGAUCUUCAUCUUCUUCCUCAACCUUUUCCCAAUCAAAUAGAUACCCCGAAAACCUGUCAAGUUCUGAUGCAUUUCAAAGGCAAUUACAGCAGCUUUUCCAACUCCAUGAUUCAGGGUUAGACCAAGCUUUCAUUGAUGCACUGCCUGUGUUCCAAUACAAAGAAAUCGUGGGGUUAAAAGAGCCAUUUGAUUGUGCAGUUUGUUUGUGUGAGUUUUCUGAGCAGGACAAACUAAGAUUACUACCAUUGUGUAGUCAUGCCUUUCAUAUUGAUUGUAUUGACACAUGGUUGUUAUCCAAUUCAACUUGUCCACUAUGUAGGGGUGCUCUCUACACCCCCGGGUUCGCCAUCGAAAACCCGGUAUUCGAUUUUGAUGAUUCAAGGGAUGAGGAGAAGGCGGUCGAGGUUGAGAUUGUGAGUGAGAAGAGGAGGGUGUUUCCUGUUAGACUUGGCAAGUUUAAAAGCACAAGUGGUGGUACUAAUCAUAGCAAUAAUGAAGUAGCAAUCGCAGUCCAAGAACACAAAGAACUCGAAAAAAUGGAUGUGGGUGAAACAAGUAGUAGCAAUUUAGAUGCAAGGAGGUGUUUCUCAAUGGGUUCAUACCAAUAUGUGGUUGCUGAUUCAGUUUUACAAGUUGCAUUAUGUCCAAAUAAACCUUCAAAUGAUGGUGAUGAAUUGAAGACUAACAAGGGUAAAAGUGGUCAAAAUGGUAAUUUUGGGGUUGCUAAUAGUAAUAAUAUUGGGGAUGCUGAAGCUAGAAAGAUUAAUAUUGGGAGUAAAACUGAGAGUCUAUCAGUUUCAAAGAUUUGGUUAUGGUCUAAAAAGGGCAAAUUUGCCAAUUCCACAAAUACAGAUUUUAGUGGUUUUCCUGUUGAUAUGAAUUUGCCUUGGACUCAUAAAGGUCAAGCUACAUGAUGAAGGUCACACACUCGAUCCCUGUUUGGAACUUCCUAGACCCUGCGCUAAAUGGCGGGAAGCCUUGUGCACUAGAAAAUUACUACAAUGGAUGACUUUCAGCUAAGCAUCAUAUUAUUUAAAAAAGAAACCAGAAACUCGAUCUUGAAAGGGAGUCAUUCUGUGCUAGCUACUCUACUGGGAACAGUCUCUAGGAGAAAAGCUGACUGUCUUGCUUAGAAGAUCAAACCCGACCUCAAGGUUGACUUGAGCCAUAUUCCCAAGGACCAUAGGAUCACCAUCUGUAGGCGACUUAACAAUUCCCAAGCAAAGGUAAUUGUCGACUACAAAGAAGAUAUUGUUCGCCUUCAGUACCAAGUCACCUCCGUUAAGAUGAAAUACUAUGUCAGGAGGAGUUAAAAACUCUGUAUUUGUAUCAUAGCACAAAACAGGCUCUGCCAAAGGAUUAUCAGAAACUGGCAUUGCUCCUAUGACACCGUUCACCAUGACUUCGAGGUUAUUGAAGAUGCUCGGGUCUAGGUAAGUAAGUGUUGUACCAGUGUCUAUCAUGAUUUCCCUGUCCAUGUUCAAGCUCAUUUGCCCGAUGCUAAUUCCCAUUAAUUCGAGGUUAUAUAAGGUUGAAGAAUCUCUGGUAACUAAAGCAGUAGUCACACAUCCAUUUCCUGAUGCAUCCUCAAAAACUCCUCCAAAUCUCAGCCUACUUGCACUUUGUGAGUCAGCACAAGCUAAGCAGUAGGAGAAUUUGUAAGAAAUUGAGGGACCUAGUUGGGAGACGAGCGAAACGGGCCCACUUCCUAGUCCUAAAACGCCGGCUGAGUCAGUAUCGAAAACCCCUGCUUGCUGAUAUCCACACCCGAAAGCAAUGGAAGGGAAGGCAGCACAUUGAUCAUAUCCGUUCAUUGAAGUGAAGGAAAAUGUGUCAGUUCCCAUGACUCCUCCAGUAACAGUUGUUGCAUUCCCAUAAGUAUACCAAUACCUACACAAAUUCUCAUUUUGGUAACAGUUUAGGUGUGUUUUAUCAAGAUUAGAGCAAUGUCCUGUAUCACAAGGAAGGUUCAUGUAGGUUCUAGAAGAUUCAGGGUCGAAAUUGGUAGUGUUUUGCUGGUAGCAAAGGGCACAACGUCUGCACUGAAACCAUGUGAGGUCAGUUCCUGUCACUACAGCUGCCACCAGCUGCACUGGUGGAGUACCAACAGAGAUUUGCAUGAGGUAAUCUCCGUCGUUAGGAAUUAAAUUAGUAUUAACUACUCCUAUGUUGCUUUGCUGCCAUUUGAUUUGUCGAUGCCUUGAAGCCGAGGAAAGGACUAAUCGGUGGUAGACUUCUUUGGGAGACAUGGAGGAGUUGUAGAAUGGAGAUUUUGGAGAGUAACGGUGGAAUAUGUUGAUGGAAAAGCCGUCAUUAGGAUGAGUUUUAGCUUCAAUUAGCCAUGGAUGAUGUAAGUAUACGUAUGUGAGUAUUGUAAGGAAGUAAAGAAGAAGGAUAGACAUGUUGACAAGAUUAGUUCCUAAGAAUAGUAAGGAUAGUCAACACAAAUGUUUAAUUAGGAUCUAUUUAUAGAAGUUUAUACUAAUUAAUACUCCCAUUAGUCAAA